rnacentral:tRNA from 1 species
GGGAAGGCAAUGCCUCGGAGAGCCGACUUGAAACCUCGGUGCGCGCGGGUUCGACUCCCGCCCUUCCCA